UCUCUCUUGGUAUAUCGGUAGAACACAACCCUGUCAUUGAGCCAUGAAUAGGCCCAAAGCACGGUUGAGAGCUGGGUUCGACUCCCAGAGGGAGAG